UACUAGUCAGGUUUGUUACCACUGAGCCAUGACGGGAACUCCUUAACAUAUUUUUAACUCGAGGAAGGGAACAUUUUUCCUAAUUUGCAGAACCUAGUGGCAGCCCUGGCCUUGCCCUAUAUAUUUCCUCCCUUCUUUUUACAUCUUAAAAAGUUGUAUAACUUCUUCUUCCUCUUGGGUUCCAAGAAGACAAGUUCUGAAAGGCAAGUUUUCCUGUUUCCAAAAUCUCAGCGAGCAUAACACAUUAAAUAAAGCAUAUGAAAGACCUUUGAAAACAGAAAAUACUAGUCAGUGAUUGCAAACUUUUAAGCACACUGAAGGUGGACAGGAAGCCAGAAGUUAAUCUACAUGUGUAAAGUGAGCCUUUAUUUAUUUACUUUUUUCUGUAAGCUUCAGUGAGGUAUAAUUUGCAUACAGUAAAAUGUACCAAUUUAGUGACCUUUUUUUUUUUUUUUUGGCCACACCCAAGGCAUGUGGAAGUUCCUUCUGCCAGGGAUUGAACUUGCACCACAGCAGUGACAGUGCCGGAUCUUUAACUGGUAGGCCACCAGGGAACUUCCUAGUUCAAUGACUUUUGACAAGAGUGUAUAGAUGUACAGCCACUGCCACGAUCGUGAUAUAGAACAUUUCUAUGCCACCAGAAUGUUCUGGAGUUCCCGUUGUGGUGCAGCGGCAACGAACCCGACUAGGAUCCAUGAAGAUCCCAAAUGAAAAUUAGCAUGAACUCCCCGAGCAGACGCCAGCUGGGCAACAGUGAGAGUGUGAAGCAUCGCGGGAGGAGGGGAGGAGCUGUCCUGAUCCUGGGACUCAGUACUGUUUCCAGUGCAUCCACAAGUGUUGAUCCACGCGUGAACUGUCCGAUAAACCACAAUACCCCUAAAAAGUGAAUCAAUAAGGUUCUUCUGCUUCCUCGGAGGGAGGGCCCACCUAGCAGAAGCUGGAGAGCCCUGGGAACCCCGCAGGGAGGCAAGGCCACUUCAGAGCAGCCUGAUGGAGGCAUCCUUGGAAAGUCUGUCACAGCUGUCUAGCAGUGACCUGCUGGGUGAUGAACAGGGAAUUAUAUAAAGUAAAUGAACAAUAUAGAAGAAAAGGAGGAAGAAGAUGGGGGAAAGAGAAGAGGAGUAGAAGGAGGAGGUGGAGAAGAAAGCAUUGUUUUUUAAAAGCCCAGCCCUGAACGUAAAACCUUUGAAUAACUUCCCAUUGCUCGUUGGAUAAUCACUCCCCCCUUCACACCUCUCCCCGUCUCUCCCCACCCCUUCCAGUUAUAGGAGGUUUCUGGGGCCUGCUAGGAUGUGUUCACACAGCCCUGUGGGAAAUUGCCCCAUGGGGUUGCAGCAACUGAAUCAGGGGGAGGGGGUGGGGGGUACCAUAAUGGGCUCUUCGUAAGGAGCAUAGAGCACUGCACGAAGCGGGGUUUGGUCCCCGGUCUGUGACUCUAGGACCAUGGGAAAAUGACCGUCUAAGCCUCCUGUUCUUGGCCUGGGCAGUGAAUGGGGAGAAUGCGCCCUGUCCUGCCUGCCUUACUGGGAGGCUCAGGUGAGAUAAAGAGCCUAGAAACCUUUGUGAAUUAUCCAGUGCUGAACAAGUAAGGGAUUGCUCCUACUACUGAGUAAACUACCUUGAGAAGUGUCAGAAGCCCGCCUCCUUCAUCUCUCAGUGCUUUUCUUUCUAAUAAUCCUUUAUGUCAUUAUAACACUUGAUGCCUUUCAAAGCACUUUUACAUGUAUAUUGUUAUUUGUGGUGCCACAUCUCGGUGCAGUGGCCAGGCAGGGCUACCCCUUGCUGGGCAUAUAAGGACACAGGCUCCGAAGGGUGAAGUCACCAGAAGGCCCAGUAUCACGGGGCGCGUGGUGGCAGAGCCAGGCCUGAGCUCAGGUUUCCUGACUGCAGCCUGGGGCCUGCUCCCAGCUGCUGGAGCCGCUCUGCCCCCAGCAUGUACCAGCUGUUGUUCUUUUAGAUUCUAAACCUCUCAGAGGGUACAGGCAGGGUCUU